UCGAACGAGUUCUGAUUAUUGAAAGGUGCUUGCAUCUUGAUUUAAUUUUGAACGAGUGGCGGACGGGUGAGUAACACGUGGGUAACCUGCCCUUAAGUGGGGGAUAACAUUUGGAAACAGAUGCUAAUACCGCAUAAAUCCAAGAACCGCAUGGUUCUUGGCUGAAAGAUGGCGUAAGCUAUCGCUUUUGGAUGGACCCGCGGCGUAUUAGCUAGUUGGUGAGGUAACGGCUCACCAAGGCAAUGAUACGUAGCCGAACUGAGAGGUUGAUCGGCCACAUUGGGACUGAGACACGGCCCAAACUCCUACGGGAGGCAGCAGUAGGGAAUCUUCCACAAUGGACGCAAGUCUGAUGGAGCAACGCCGCGUGAGUGAAGAAGGCUUUCGGGUCGUAAAACUCUGUUGUUGGAGAAGAAUGGUCGGCAGAGUAACUGUUGUCGGCGUGACGGUAUCCAACCAGAAAGCCACGGCUAACUACGUGCCAGCAGCCGCGGUAAUACGUAGGUGGCAAGCGUUAUCCGGAUUUAUUGGGCGUAAAGCGAGCGCAGGCGGUUUUUUAAGUCUGAUGUGAAAGCCCUCGGCUUAACCGAGGAAGUGCAUCGGAAACUGGGAAACUUGAGUGCAGAAGAGGACAGUGGAACUCCAUGUGUAGCGGUGAAAUGCGUAGAUAUAUGGAAGAACACCAGUGGCGAAGGCGGCUGUCUGGUCUGUAACUGACGCUGAGGCUCGAAAGCAUGGGUAGCGAACAGGAUUAGAUACCCUGGUAGUCCAUGCCGUAAACGAUGAAUGCUAGGUGUUGGAGGGUUUCCGCCCUUCAGUGCCGCAGCUAACGCAUUAAGCAUUCCGCCUGGGGAGUACGACCGCAAGGUUGAAACUCAAAGGAAUUGACGGGGGCCCGCACAAGCGGUGGAGCAUGUGGUUUAAUUCGAAGCAACGCGAAGAACCUUACCAGGUCUUGACAUCUUUUGAUCACCUGAGAGAUCAGGUUUCCCCUUCGGGGGCAAAAUGACAGGUGGUGCAUGGUUGUCGUCAGCUCGUGUCGUGAGAUGUUGGGUUAAGUCCCGCAACGAGCGCAACCCUUAUGACUAGUUGCCAGCAUUUAGUUGGGCACUCUAGUAAGACUGCCGGUGACAAACCGGAGGAAGGUGGGGAUGACGUCAAAUCAUCAUGCCCCUUAUGACCUGGGCUACACACGUGCUACAAUGGAUGGUACAACGAGUUGCGAGACCGCGAGGUCAAGCUAAUCUCUUAAAGCCAUUCUCAGUUCGGACUGUAGGCUGCAACUCGCCUACACGAAGUCGGAAUCGCUAGUAAUCGCGGAUCAGCACGCCGCGGUGAAUACGUUCCCGGGCCUUGUACACACCGCCCGUCACACCAUGAGAGUUUGUAACACCCGAAGCCGGUGGCGUAACCCUUUUAGGGAGCGAGCCGUCUAAGGUGGGACAAAUGAUUAGGG
rnacentral:rRNA from 1 species